GGUGGGUUGGUUUUCAACUUCUAGAAUCAAUCUAUUGUGAAAGGGAGAGAUUAAAUUAAAUGUUAUCCACCAGAAUGACAUAAAUGGAGAAGUAAAACUGACAGAAGUUGGAGGUAGAAGGGGACAUUUUGGUGGAAAGACAGGCUUCCAGAGGGACUGCAAAGCCCUUUACCAUGGUCUGGAUGCUGGAGAAGGUGCCUUUCCACGGGGCCAUAGGGGUGCAGGGGCAGGCAGGACAGGAUGUUCUCCGAGUUCCAGCAGCAGGACCAUCCCUCAGAACGCGCAGCAGAGCCAUGAUUAGGGCUGAAGCCUGGUUGUGGGGCAAAGGCCUUGCCUCACCUUUCACCACCGUCUCGCUUGAGAUGUCGGGAGGAAGAGGAAGCACCAGGAGGGGAAAAGACACAAGGCAGAAUUCAGACCAGUGUUUUUCAAAGUGUGGACUAUGGAUCUCUCUUGCAUCUGAAUCACGUGCCUAUUAAAAAUGCAGAUUCCUGGGCCAGCCCUGAUGGCCUAGCAGUUAAAAGUUUGGUGCACUCCACCUCAGCAGCCCAGGUUCAGUUCCUGGUCACGGAACCAUACCACUCAUCUGUCAGUAGCCAUGCUGUGGUGGUGGCUCACAUUGAAGAAUUAGGACUUACAACUAGAAUACACAACUACGUACUGGGGCUUUGGGGAGGAAAAAAAAAGGGAGGAAGAUUGGCAACAGACCUUAGCUCAGGAUGGAACUUUCCCAGCAAAAAAAUAAAAACAAAUAAAAAUGCAAAUUCCUGGAGUCUGCUUCAGUCUUGAGUCUGAAACUUCCCACGUGAUUCUUACAAACACCCAGGUCUGAAAAUCUCAGGGAGAAGCAGAAAGUCUUCAGGGAUUUUAAAGACACUGAUAAAGGAAGUACACAGACAACUCAAAACACCAUUUCAGCCAAUCAUUUCUAAACCCAUCCCAGAAAAUCUUUCACUUUAGCAUUUAGCCUAGGUAAAGCUUGACCAUUCCCCUGGUUACACUUCAUCCAUCUACAGGUGGUGAUGCAAAUAGAAAAACAUCUGGCCCUUUUGGGCCAGAAGGUCAGAGAAGGAGGAGCAUGUUUGUGUAUAAACCAACCUCUAGAUCACCAAAGGCUGAUGUCUUGGUUCUAACUCCCUGGGCUCAGGUGUUGCAAAUGCUGACUUAGGGCCCCCUUAUCUACUGAUAACAAAGGUGAACAGAAGUGAUCUCCAGAAAUGGUUCACACACAGCUCCCAGGUUCUUGAAAAACCACAAGUG
rnacentral:lncRNA from 1 species